rnacentral:misc_RNA from 1 species
UUUGUGAGUUUUUGUAUUGCAGGGAGACAUUUAGGACAGCACAUUGAGGGACGGCAUUGUGGGACAGUGGAUUUUGCCAGUUGGCGUGUUCGAGGGCGUACAUCUUUCGGGAGCAUCGGGUCGUUUCAUCUUGGAUGGUAAGUUUUUGUUUUGGUUUCUUCUUCUUAUUAGUCUUCCAUUUGUCAGUAAUUUUGUCUUAAUCUAAUCAGGUACAUUUGCAGGUGGUUCCAGUGGGAGUCGUCAUUUAUGGUUAUCACAGUUGGUUGGUUAGUCGGCCGUCAGCGUCGUUAAUAAGGGAUUUUUAGAUUAAUUGCAUGGAAAAUUAUUUCCUUGGUGGCGUCGGCGUGGGAAUAGGAAUUUCCAGGUAGAUACAAGCGUAUCAGGAGCAAGGUCGUCGUUGGACAGGAGCUUUGAUGGGGGAGAUAUCAUAAGAUGAGUUCCAAUAGCAUUUUUGGUGUAGAACCCCCUGUGAGAUUUUUGUUUGUUCUUUCUCGUUUCAGGUUGCCUUCCCCCUGUUGUGAUGCAGCGUUGGAGCACGCAAUCACACACACACACCCCACCCCCUCUAGUGGAAUGCAGCGUAGAGAUAUUUGGAGCAUGUUAAUCACAGCUUUCUUUUGUCAUUUCGGGUCUUCGGUGUUUGUGACGUGGGAUGGCAUCUUCCCGGUGGGUUCUUUCAUGUGUUUUGUUUAUCCAUUGUUCUAUAUUAAAUUAUAUUUAGCCUUUAUAGAUUUUGCGCCUUCGUGGAGAGGUUCGUCAGGUAGUAGGUGAGUAGGUUGGGCUUUUUAGCAGCAUCAAAGUGAAUAUUUUAAUCUCUUUUAUUUCAGGUACAAGGUGAGAAUAGGAGAGGCGCUUCCAGCAAGGAUUAAUUUAAAGCAAUGAAACAGGGUCAAAAGACAGUUGGGAUGAGAAAAUUAGAUAAGUUCCAUGGCAUAAUGAUAUAGAGCCCAUUGUAAGGUAUUUGUUUCCUCUAUUCUUAUUUCAGGUUGCCGAUGCUGCGGAAGAAGGAGACAUCGUCAAGGAGGUUUAUAUGUUUCAAUGCCGGUUAUGCUUGUUGCUGUCCCCUGUUGGUCAAGGAUAUCACAGUUGGGUAUCACAGGGUUGACUGUCUCCUUAUUAGGACUCUUCGAUGUGGGAAGCCCAGUAACAAUAGUUUUCAACUCCUCCAACCGAAAGAAGUAGCGCGCAUUGUCAGUACGUCCAGGUUGCAGUCGUCAAAGUUAUUGGAGAAGCGGUCUUCAAGGUGUGCGGCAAAAACCUCAGCUUUCUCCUGUGCCGUCUUCGUCCAAGAGGUGCCGGUCGUCCUUCUGCUGGUGGUCGUCAUGGGAGCGCCUGUUGAGGUCUUAAGGGGAUAAUUUGAGGGAGGCUGACGCUUGAGUUUCCUUGUUAUCCUCCAGAUUCUCGUCAUUAUGUAUCGGUCGUCAGGGUUCAGACGAGCAAGUUGCCCACCAACGCAGUUUUCUCUUGCUCUUUUGAUAGCCUUUGUCAGUUUGUUUUUGAGCCUGGAGGCUUUUCUUUUGUUGUCGUCAGUCUUAUUUCUCUUCAAUUUCUUUUUGCAGGACUCAUAUUGCGCUAUGAGGAUUUUAGUGCGGAGAUCAAGUUUGAGUUUUGGCUUGGAAUUGUGUCCCUUAUUAUUAUGUGCACCGGUGGAGGGAGUGGCAUGCUUUCCAAGUGCUUCACCAAUUUUACGGCUCCUUUCAAGUGUAACUUGGAACUCCCUGAUUCCCUGGUUGCUACGGGGAGGAUAGAGGGGCCAACUCGGACUGGAGGAGGGAAUUGCUGCUGGAGGACUCAGCGGAGUACGCCCACUUGCUACCUCAAUCAGAAGGAGAAGGUGAUCCGAGGAAAGCGCGUCCAGUGAGGAGAUUCUAAUGUUUUUUUUUUUAAUUUGUAU